AUUGAACGCUGGCGGCAUGCCUAACACAUGCAAGUCGAACGAGUGGCGGACGGGUGAGUAAUGUCUGGGAAACUGCCUGAUGGAGGGGGAUGACUACUGGAAACGGUAGCUAAUACCGCAUACCAUCGGAUCGGCCCAGCUGGUAUUAGCUAGUGGGUGGGGUAAAGGCUCACCGAGGCGACGAUCCCUAGCUGGUCUGAGAGGCUGACCAGCCACACUGGAACUGAGACACGGUCCAGACUCCUACGGGAGGCAGCAGUGGGGAAUAUUGCACAAUGGGCGAAAGUCUGAUGCAGCAAUGCCGCGUGUAUGAAGAAGGCUUUCGGGUUGUAAAGCACUUUUAGCGGAGAGGCGUUACCCGCAGAGGAAGCACCGGCUAACUCCGUGCCAGCAGCCGCGGUAAUAC
rnacentral:rRNA from 1 species